rnacentral:rRNA from 1 species
UGGGAGGGGCCCGCGGCCUAUCAGGUAGUUGGUGAGGUAACGGCUCACCAAGCCGACGACGGGUAGGGGGCGUGAGAGCGUGGCCCCCCACACGGGAACUGAGACACGGUCCCGACGCCUACGGGCGGCAGCAGUGAGGAAUCUUGCCCAAUGGGGGAAACCCUGAGGCAGCGACACCGCGUGCGGGAUGAAGGCCUUCGGGUCGUAAACCGCUUUUCUGGGGGACGAGUAAGGACGGUACUCCAGGAAUAAGUCCCGGCUAACUACGUGCCAGCAGCCGCGGUAAAACGUAGGGGGCGAGCGUUAUCCGGAAUCACUGGGCGUAAAGGGCGUCUAGGCGGCAGCCUAAGUCCCGUGUGAAAGCUCCCGGCUCAACUGGGAGAGGGCAUGGGAGACUGGGCAGCUAGAGACUCGGAGGGGGGUGUGGAAUUCCCGGUGGAGUGGUGGAAUGCGUUGAGAUCGGGAGGAACACCAGUAGCGAAGGCGGCACCCUGGCCGAGAUCUGACGCUGAAGCGCGAGAGCGUGGGGAGCGAACGGGAUUAGAUACCCCGGUAGUCCACGCCGUAAACGAUGACAACUAGGUGUUGGGUGUCCAAGGAUGCUCAGUACCGCAGCAAACGCGAUAAG